GACGAACGCUGGCGGCGUGCUUAACACAUGCAAGUCGAACGGAAAGGCCCUGCUUUUGUGGGGUGCUCGAGUGGCGAACGGGUGAGUAACACGUGAGUAACCUGCCCUUGACUUUGGGAUAACUUCAGGAAACUGGGGCUAAUACCGGAUAGGAGCUCCUGCUGCAUGGUGGGGGGUGGAAAGUUUCGGCGGUUGGGGAUGGACUCGCGGCUUAUCAGCUUGUUGGUGGGGUAGUGGCUUACCAAGGCUUUGACGGGUAGCCGGCCUGAGAGGGUGACCGGCCACAUUGGGACUGAGAUACGGCCCAGACUCCUACGGGAGGCAGCAGUGGGGAAUAUUGCACAAUGGGCGGAAGCCUGAUGCAGCAACGCCGCGUGCGGGAUGACGGCCUUCGGGUUGUAAACCGCUUUCGCCUGUGAAGAAGCGAGAGUGACGGUAAUGGGUAAAGAAGCACCGGCUAACUACGUG
rnacentral:rRNA from 1 species